GAUGAACGCUGACAGAAUGCUUAACACAUGCAAGUCAACUUGAACUUCGGUUUGGGUGGCGGACGGGUGAGUCACGCGUAAAGAACUUGCCUCACAGCGAGGGACAACAUUUGGAAACGAAUGCUAAUACCUGAUAUUAUGAUUAUAUGGCAUCGUAUAAUUAUGAAAGCUAUAUGCGCUGUGAGAGAGCUUUGCGUCCCAUUAGCUAGUUGGAGAGGUAACAGCUCACCAAGGCGAUGAUGGGUAGCCGGCCUGAGAGGGUGAUCGGCCACAAGGGGACUGAGACACGGCCCUUACGCCUACGGGAGGCAGCAGUGGGGAAUAUUGGACAAUGGACCGAGAGUCUGAUCCAGCAAUUCUGUGUGCACGAUGAAGUUUUUCGGAAUGUAAAGUGCUUUCAGUUGGGAAGAAAAAAAUGACGGUACCAACAGAAGAAGUGACGGCUAAAUACGUG
rnacentral:rRNA from 1 species